rnacentral:tRNA from 1 species
UCAGAAAAUAGUUUAAAUAAAAUAUUAAUUUUGGAGAUUAAUGAUAAAAUAAUUUUUUUUUCUGAA